rnacentral:snRNA from 1 species
UUCAGAUCCAUUUCUAAGCU